rnacentral:rRNA from 1 species
UAAGACGAACCGUGCAAACGUUAUUCGGAAUCACUGGGCAUAAAGGGCGCGUAGGCGGCUCCAAAAGUCAGGGGUGAAAUCCGGCAGCUUAACUGUCGCAGUGCCUUUGAUACUGUGGAGCUAGAGGGAGGUAGGGGUCUGUGGAACUUCCGGUGGAGCGGUGAAAUGCGUUGAUAUCGGAAGGAACGCCGGUGGCGAAAGCGACGGACUGGAUCUCUUCUGACGCUGAGGCGCGAAAGCCAGGGGAGCAAACGGGAUUAGAUACCCCGGUAGUCCUGGCCCUAAACGAUGGGUACUAGAUUGCGGACUUACAUGGGUUCGCAGUCGAAGCUAAUGUUUUAAGUACCCCGCCUGGGGAGUAUGGUCGCAAGGCUG